GGCCCAUUCGUCUAGGCGGCCCAGGACGCUGCGCUUCUCGGCGCGGAGACCGGUGGUUCAAAUCCCCGAUGGGCUA
rnacentral:tRNA from 1 species